CAGUCGGUCCCGUAGUAAACACCCGGAGGUCGACCCCCCGGGAAGGGCGCGGGACCGGGAGACGGGUGAGUAAUCGGGGAAUCUACCUUUUCGUACGGUUAAACCGAGGGAAACUUGUCGUUUAACCGUCGGUGUCCUUCGGGAGAAAGAUUUAUCCGGAAGACGGGACCCCGGGUUGGAUUACGUAGUUGGUGGGGUAAACCGGUACCAACGGGACGAUCCAUACGUGGUCUGAGAGGAUGAUCACCGACAUUGGGACUGAGACACCCCGGAAACUCCUACGGGACGGACGAGUGGGGUUAAUUGGACACCCGGGGGAACCGUGAUCCACCCCCCGGGGGUGAGUCGGGAACCCGGUAGGGUUGUAAACGUCUUUCACCGGAGAAGAUACGGACGGUAUCCGGAGAAGAACCCCCGGGUAACUUCGUCCGACGACCCGGGGUUUAACGAACGGGGGUACGGUUGUUCGGUUAUACUGGGCGUAAACCGGACGUACGGGGAUCGAUCAGUCAGGGGUGAUUACCCACGGGUCAACCCUGGAACUCCGUUUGAUACUGUCGAUCUGGAGUCGGGAAGAGGUGAGUGGUUAUCCGAGUGUAGAGGUGAUUAUCGUAGAUAUUCGGAGGAACACCAGUCGGGAACCGGGGUCACUGGUCCAUUACUGACCGUGAGGUCGGAAACGGUGGGGACGAAACAGGAUUAGAUACCCUCGUAGUCCACCCGGUAAACCGGGACGGUUACCGGUCCGGGAGUAUACUGUUCGGUCCGGGACGUAACCGAUUAAACAUUCCCCGUGGGGAGUACGGUCCGAAGAUUAAAACUCAAAGGUUAUGACCCGCGCGGGGACACGAUGAACGGGUGGACCGGGUGGUUUUUAUCCCCGGAGAACCUUACCACCCGUUGACAUCCUGUGUUACCCGUAGAGAUCGGGGGUCCACUUCGGUCCGCGGAGAGACAGGUCGUCCCGGGGUGUCGUCACGUCGUGUCGUGACGGGUUGGGUUAAGUCCCCGAACGACCGGAACCCUCCCCGUUAGUUCCGACGAUUCAGUUCGGGACUCUAAGGGGACUCCGGGUGAUAACCGGAGAGGAAGGUCGGGGGGACGUCAAGUCCUCCCCGGGCUUACCGGGUCGGGUACACACGUCGUACACGGGUGGUGACAGUCGGGACGGACGACCGGAGUGUGACGUUUACUCCAAAACCGAUCUCAGUUCGGAUUCGACUCUCGACGUCGAGUCCGGGAAGUUGGUUACCGUAGUUUACCGGGAUCACCCCCGGGGGGUGUUAACGUUCCCCCGGGUUGUACACACCCCCGCGUACACCCGGGGAGUUGGUUUUACCCGAAGGUAGUCCGGUAACCGCAAGGACGGACGUAACCACGGUAGGGUCACGGACUGGGGUGAAGUCGUAACAAGGUACCGGUAGGGGAACCUCCGGGUGGAUCACCUCCUUAACGUUGGAUCCCGGGGAGACCCGAACCGUGAAACAG
rnacentral:rRNA from 1 species